rfam:Camelus ferus unplaced genomic scaffold scaffold898, whole genome shotgun sequence.
GGGUAUAUAGCUCAAGUGGUAGAGUGCAUGCUUAGUAUACAUGAGGUCCUGGGUUCAAUCCCCAGUCCUUCUU